UAAAUCUGAAUUCACAUUUUUUUUUAAUUUCCAAUUCCAUCAAUGUCAUUUUUGUGUUUUCUCUAUUAGGGAAUAAUUUUUCAAGGAAAUUGAUUAACUUUUUUUUGUGUAGACAGCUUGUACCAGUUUUAUCAAGAGAUGAAAACAAAGAGAAAAUGAGGGGGAGAAGGGUGUGAGUAUAGAGGAGAAGAAACAUAGAGAGAGAAUAAUAAGAGAGAAAUAAGAGGGAGAGAAUUAGGAUAGUUUAGUUAUAAAAAAUAAUUAGAAGACUAAAUAGUUAACGGAGCCAAAAUAACAUAGACUAACUAAUGUCUUUUUUUCAAAAUAUAAGGACUAACUAAUUAAUUUCAUUAAAACAAAUGGACUAAAUAGAAGUUUGACUAUUAUUGAUUAAUGAAAAUAUUGUCGGAGGGAUUAAAUAGUUUAACGGAAGCAAAAUAUAUGAAUUAAAUUGUGUAUUUUUCAAAAUACAUAGAUCAAGGAGUUAGUUUUGCUAAAAUAUAGUGACUAAAUAGUAAUUUACCCUAUAUUUAUUUUUCUUCUUUUUUUUUCUUUGAAACAAA
rnacentral:misc_RNA from 1 species